GAUAAUCACAAUAAAGUUGUAUUUUGGAACGUGCGUGGCCUUAACAGCAAAGCUAAACGCACAGCUGUCCGCACUGUAAUCGCCUCUACCUCCACCCUGGUGGUUUGUCUACAAGAGACCAAGCUCGCUACAGUCACUGCCGCCAUCGUCUUCGAGACGCUCGGUGGAAACUUCGCUGACUUCUAG
rnacentral:rRNA from 1 species